rnacentral:lncRNA from 1 species
ACAGGGGUUAACAACAAGCAACAACUCAGGUCGCAUUCUUGUCAACGGAAGGGAGGGCCAGGUGGAACCGCCAAGGGGGCCAUUUCUGGCUUUGCUGGAGGCUGUCAGCUUCUGGUGGGAGCCACAGCCUGAGGGCAGCCAGGAUGGCUCUGCUGGGAGGGACACCCUGCCCAACCCUGGGAGCAGGUGACGAAGGCUCCUGGAGGCAUGGUCACAUCCCUGGGUCCCAGAGGCAGGAACAAAGCCCCCAGGGCAGGUGGGUGAAGGCUGCUGGGGGUCGGAGGGGAAGCCUUGCUGCCCAGGAGCUCAGGCCGGGCUGAAAAGGGCAAUGCCACAGAACCCCUGGAAGGAGCAGGACAGCAGACAGUGUUCCAGAUGAGACUGCAGAGGGCCGGGGAGCCAAGUACCAAGGGGACGUCAGGAGGGGCCAUGAGGCCUCCUCUGAAAGCCACUGUGGCACCAGCAUUUGCGAAGGGCCUGAAUGACUCCUCUUUUAAUGGACAGGCAUCCAAGGGCUUCCGGAGAGCCACAGAAAACCUGGCGUGGAGGUUGCUGCUUGCCUUCUAGGAAUGAUCUUGGAUGUGCUGGUGGCAAUUCCCCCUCCCUUUGGUGAUCCCCCUCACAUCUGCCCCAAGCGACUUCUCCAGGGCCAGCCUUAGGAGGCAGAGAGAUCCCGCUCUGGACUGCUGUCCCAGGCCCUGAGGGUGCCAUGGGUUACAUGUGUGUUUACAUGAGUCUAUGAGUUGAAUCCCCAUAAGCCUGGGGGAAGCACCAUGUCUGAAGCAGCAGCUGCAUUUGUAAGAUGAAGAUCUGAGCCAGUUUUUCAUUAUAUCUGCAGUGUUCAUCAAGAAAGGGCCUCCGGGUUUGUGUUUACUGGACAUGAAUUGAGCUGCUCUCCAGAGAUAAGAAAAAAAUAUUACAGCCCUGCUAUGUGGGCACCCCACGGCAGCCCCCGGGGUUAAGGGGCAGCUUUCUUUCCAAGGAAUCCCAUUGCCAAAGAUGAACCUUCAGGUAAGGGCUCAGAGCUGCUUGCUUGGGCAGAUACUUCCAGCAGGGUUCCCAGGGAUGUGAGUCCAUCUCCCCACAGAGGAAUCUGUGCUCAGGCGCUGUGCCCAGGGAAUAUCAAGAUCUGCACCCUGGAAACCUAAGGCUGUAGCCUCAGCCCCAGUUAAGGAUCAUGCGGUCUGGUCUGUCCCUUUGUUUUACAGAUGGGGAAACUGAGGACCCAGAGGAAGCAAGAGCAGCCCCAGGCCACACAACCCUCUUUUUAUUAUUCAUUCACUGACUACACUGCAGAGGUUGGACCCAUAUCUCAUUAUUUGAAUAGUAAAUUGUUUUUUCUUCCUG